rnacentral:tRNA from 1 species
GCGGGCAUAGUUCAGUGGUAGAACGAUAGCCUUCCAAGCUGUAUACACGGGUUCGAAUCCCGUUGCCCGCU